UACGAAGGGGGCUAGCGUUGCUCGGAAUCACUGGGCGUAAAGCGCACGUAGGCGGAUUGCUAAGUCAGGGGUGAAAUCCUGGAGCUCAACUCCAGAACUGCCCUUGAUACUGGCGGUCCCGAGUCCGGGAGAGGUGAGUGGAACUGCGAGUGUAGAGGUGAAAUUCGUAGAUAUUCGCAAGAACACCAGUGGCGAAGGCGGCUCACUGGCCCGGUACUGACGCUGAGGUGCGAAAGCGUGGGGAGCAAACAGGG
rnacentral:rRNA from 1 species